UUAUUUUGCUUUUCUUUUUCAAAAAACCUGGAUCUUUUUUUUCUUUAUUGAUGGAAAUCAGGUCCAUCAGGAUUUGAAUAAAUUUUUAGGAGAUUCCAAUCACUGGUAAUUACACAAGCUACAAGAUUGUACAUUGUUGUAAUUAAUUUCUACAUAUAAACAAGAACUUUGUUUUCAAAGCUAAAUAUAUUUUGUUUUAACACUCUGAUUUAUGAGAAAUAUAGCAUACAUCCAUUAGAUUCAUACAUAUUCUUUAGGAUGCGUUUCUUUAAAAAAAAAAAUCCUAAUAUUAAAUUUCAAAUCUGUACAAAUAAUCUCAAAAAAUGAUGCAUAAACUAUGGUCUGAAGGGAAAACUGCUGCAUACACAGAGAAAAGCUAAAAAAAAUUUGUGUAAACAAUUGUUAUAAAAAACAACCGACCCAUCAAGUAUACAUACUU